GGGAGUUUGGUCUAGUGGUAUGAUUCUCGCUUAGGGUGCGAGAGGUCGUGGGUUCAAUUCCCGCAACUCCCC
rfam:Gonium pectorale scaffold00245, whole genome shotgun sequence.